GGGGAAUAUUGCACAAUGGGCGAAAGCCUGAUGCAGCGACGCCGCGUGCGGGAUGACGGCCUUCGGGUUGUAAACCGCUUUCAGCUCUGACGAAGCUUUUGUGACGGUAGGAGCAGAAGAAGCACCGGCUAACUACGUGCCAGCAGCCGCGGUAAUACGUAGGGUGCGAGCGUUGUCCGGAAUUAUUGGGCGUAAAGAGCUUGUAGGCGGCUUGUCGCGUCUGCUGUGAAAACCCGGGGCUUAACCCCGGGCUUGCAGUGGGUACGGGCAGGCUAGAGUGUGGUAGGGGAGACUGGAAUUCCUGGUGUAGCGGUGGAAUGCGCAGAUAUCAGGAGGAACACCGAUGGCGAAGGCAGGUCUCUGGGCCAUGACUGACGCUGAGAAGCGAAAGCGUGGGGAGCGAAC
rnacentral:rRNA from 1 species